UGAUGCAGCGACGCCGCGUGAGGGAUGACGGCCUUCGGGUUGUAAACCUCUUUCAGCAGGGAAGAAGCGAAAGUGACGGUACCUGCAGAAGAAGCGCCGGCUAACUACGUGCCAGCAGCCGCGGUAAUACGUAGGGCGCGAGCGUUGUCCGGAAUUAUUGGGCGUAAAGAGCUCGUAGGCGGCUUGUCACGUCGGUUGUGAAAGCCCGGGGCUUAACCCCGGGUCUGCAGUCGAUACGGGCAGGCUAGAGUUCGGUAGGGGAGAUCGGAAUUCCUGGUGUAGCGGUGAAAUGCGCAGAUAUCAGGAGGAACACCGGUGGCGAAGGCGGAUCUCUGGGCCGAUACUGACGCUGAGGAGCGAAAGCGUGGGGAGCGAACAGGAUUAGAUACCCUGGUAGUCCACGCCGUAAACGGUGGGCACUAGGUGUGGGCGACAUUCCACGUCGUCCGUGCCGCAGCUAACGCAUUAAGUGCCCCGCCUGGGGAGUACGGCCGCAAGGCUAAAACUCAAAGGAAUUGACGGGGG
rnacentral:rRNA from 1 species